CCGGGCGGGGGGAGUAACAUUCCGAAAGGAGUGCUAAUACCGCAUAAGACCACGAGCUCGAAAGAGCUUGAGGUCAAAGCCGGCCUCUAUACAUAAGCUGGCACCUGAGGAUGAGUCCGCGGCCCAUCAGCUAGUUGGUAGGGUAAUGGCCUACCAAGGCAAAGACGGGUAGCUGGUCUGAGAGGAUGAUCAGCCACACUGGAACUGAGACACGGUCCAG
rnacentral:rRNA from 1 species